UCCUGGGAUAAGAUAUGGCUUAAUAAAUUAAGCAGGGAAUGUAAUUUUAUACUGCACUAGGCAAUAUUUUUCCCGAUGGCAAGUAAGCUUAAUUUUUGUCUUGAUAAACACUACAGGAGUUCUGAAGCCUGUCUGUCAUAAGGAUUGCUGGGAUAACAAUAACCACAGGUUUCUAAUAAACGGACAAUCCCAGAUAUAAUGAAAGAAAUCAACAUUCUGCUCUGAACAUUUUGGGCAAAAAGAAAUCUUCUGAGAGCUAUCACAGUUUUGGAACAAUAAGCCAUAACCUAAAUGAAUGAGCCGGAAAUGCUGGUCUCUCCAAGACUCAGAACAUAUAUUCUUUCUAAAAUUUUGGAAAGAGUGCAGAAGUUCCCUGGAAGAAACAUUAGUUCCCAAAAAUGAAGACCAUUUUUUGCUCGAGUUCUCUAGUGGAUCCAUAUCCUUGGAAACUGACUUUAAAAGAUGUAAUGAGAUCCAUGAAAUAUUAUUUAGUUUAAUAUCUUCAACCAACUGUAAUAAAGCCUUAUAAAACUGA